AGCCGUGCGCGUGCGCGCGGCAGGUCGGCGCCGGGCGGCGGCGGAGCGGCACUGGCAGUUCCACGCCGUAAACAGACAACAUGGCGGCCGCGGUGGCGGCGGCACCUGGGGUCUUGGGAUACUUGCAUGCUGGCGGUGCCCGCCUGGUGGCCGCUUGCAGUGCGUGGCUCUGUCCGGGGUUGAGGCUGCCCGGCUCGUUGGCAGGCCGGCGGGUGGGCCCGGCGAUCUGGGCCCAGGGCUGGGUACCUGCGGCCGGGGGUCCCGCCCCGAAAAGGGGCUACAGCUCUGAGAUGAAGACGGAGGACGAGCUGCGGGUGCGGCACCUGGAGGAGGAGAACCGAGGAAUUGUGGUGCUUGGAAUAAACAGAGCUUAUGGCAAAAAUUCACUCAGUAAAAAUCUUAUAAAAAUGCUAUCAAAAGCUGUGGAUGCUUUGAAAUCUGAUAAGAAAGUACGGACCAUAAUAAUCAGGAGUGAAGUCCCAGGGAUAUUCUGUGCUGGUGCUGACCUUAAGGAAAGAGCCAAAAUGAGUUCCAGUGAAGUUGGUCCUUUUGUCUCCAAAAUAAGAGCAGUGAUUAAUGAUAUUGCUAAUCUUCCAGUACCAACAAUUGCAGCAAUAGAUGGACUCGCUUUAGGUGGUGGUCUUGAACUGGCAUUAGCUUGUGAUAUACGAAUAGCAGCUUCCUCUGCAAAAAUGGGCCUGGUUGAAACAAAACUGGCAAUUAUUCCUGGUGGAGGGGGGACACAGCGAUUGCCACGCACCAUUGGAAUGUCCCUGGCCAAGGAGCUCAUAUUCUCUGCGCGAGUCCUCGAUGGCCAAGAAGCCAAAGCAGUGGGCUUAAUCAGCCACGUUCUGGAACAGAACCAGGAGGGAGACGCUGCCUACAGAAAGGCCUUGGACCUGGCGAGAGAGUUUUUACCUCAGGGACCUGUUGCAAUGAGAGUGGCAAAAUUAGCAAUUAAUCAAGGGAUGGAGGUCGAUUUAGUAACAGGGUUAGCCAUAGAAGAAGCUUGUUAUGCUCAGACUAUUCCAACAAAAGACAGACUUGAAGGUCUUCUUGCUUUUAAAGAGAAAAGGCCCCCUCGCUAUAAAGGAGAAUAAAAGGAACAGAAAUUCUUAAGAUGCCAAUGUAAUAAAUGUACUUCUGGAAGUGUCUUUCAGAUCCAGUAUAUGCCUCAGCACAUGGAAUCUUAAUGACCAAAGUGAAGAGCAGAUUAUUCAUAUAGUGUAAUAAGCAUCCGGAAUAGACCCAUCCGUGUACUUCAUUCAAAUGUGUAAAUGUCAUAUUCAUUCAGAUUUAUAAAGCUAGUAGUGUAUAGUCAGAAACAGAAUCAAAGUGAGAUAUACAUUUUUAAAUAUUUACUGCAUAUGAGGCUUUCUGUUCUUAAUUUUUUAAUGUGAAUAAUUUAUAUAUUGCACAUUCUAGGGAAUAAUAUUAAUUGUAUGUCUACUGUGCUGCAUUAAGAAAAUAAAAUUUCUAUAUACCAAAAAAGGGGAGUUAUACCAAAUAAAGUUUCUAAGUGAUUAAUGCAUACGAACAGAUACAUAUACAUAUAUCUAAACCUGAAAAAUGAAUUGAUAUUCUGAGUGAAAACUACCUAAUAUAAAUAAAAUUAGUGAAAAGAAAACAUGAGAAUCUUUCUCUUACCCCAUUCUUUUUGAAUUGACUAAAUCAUUGCAUGCUGGACUUUAGAAGAAACAAUCCUUUCAUUGCUGCUUCUAUCAGGCAACCUCUUUACAUAGUCCUGUAAUACAGUAUUGAAGGUGAAGAAUUAAUCCAAAGACAGAAGCCAAAGAACUGAAGCGGACAGGAGACCUGGUGCAGUGGGACUUCAGGACCUCCUCCCAGCAAGUGGUGUGGCGGCUGCCUGGCCUAGGAAAGGAGAUGUUUGCACACAAAGGAGGAAAGAAAAUGGGGCAGCCAGGAUUGGAGCAUGGAAAUGGCUUGGGGUCAUGGAUUAAAGUGGAGACUGUUCUCUGCUUCCUUACCCUCAGCUGUUUGCAUCCACUUUCUGGAAGGGAAAGAGGUGAACUUAACAACCCUUUGUCCUAACAAACACCUGCCUUCCUACCCAGGCCAGGUCAAGAAGCUGUAAACGGAGAGCCUCCAGGUUGCAUACCUGAGUAGCCACACCUGGGGAGUAGGCACAGGUAGGAGUUGUGUGGGACAUCGGGAACUGGAGAAUUCGCUGUGGAAAAAGGAAGGAGAACAUUCUGAUGCCCUUAAAUAAUUUGAAAUAGCUCUACUUUACAUUCAUUUUACCAAACCACCCUGCCUUCCUAGUUUGUGCCAAGUCUGAGUGUGGUCAUGCUGGAGACGACGUCCCCGGCAGUGCCCGUGCAGCAAGCUUCACUGUGGUACAGCUCAGCUGUGUCCCUAAGGUGUCCUCCUUUCACAUUUCCGUAUAUCAGAUAAACUCCCAUUUUACUGUGGAUUUACAUCGUCAUCGUGGCGACUUCAUUGCUAUUUGAAGGCAUGUGGGCUUCAUUUUUUAAAUUCUGAAACUUAUAUUUUUUAACUUGGGAAUUUGAAGUCAGCCUCAAUUCUAAAAUUCUUAUAAGAGGCAAAUGUGGACUGGCCGUCUGCUGAUGUCUGUCCUGACCAAAGUAGGCGGUGUCUUCACUAAUGUUUGGACACUAAGGUAAGCGCUGUUUUCUUUAUCAGCUUAGGUGCUGAGGCUCUGUGGAUUUAUGAUGAUUGCUCAGCUGAUCAUACUAUAAAGAGGGCUUACUAAAAUUCACAUUUGGCUCGCUCUGUGGUGGUCGUAUCGGGUGGCAUGCAUACUUGUUUACUGAUAAACUUGCUGAGCUGUUCGUUUUGUGCAUGAUAAUCUGCACCUAAAAUGCUGCUGGUGGUUUUCAUAGCCCUUUAAAGGUUGCAGGGCCAGUUUGUCCUAUCCAUGACAUGCUAAAUACCACUUUCUCUUGAACUGAGCAGGAAAUAAUUAUGUUGUUAGGAAAAAAUAUUAAGAGUGUGCUGUAUGAGUCGUUUCUCUUCGGUUCAUAGUCUAGUCUACUGUCACUGAUCGAGCACCAUUUAAUUUCCUAACAAGUUCUGAUGAAGUCACUAGAAUGUAUCUAAAAGCAAAGUCCUGUAGUGACUUAAGGUAUUGCAGACUUCACGUAUUAUGGCAGAGAAAAGUGCCUGUCCAAUUCUCUGAAUAAAUGUUUGCCUUUCUCUUGAUUUUCCUUUCAGUAUAGGUCUUGCUGCUAAGCAGUCCUGAUCCUCCCCCAAGUCAAGCUCACGGGGCUCUGGAUAGGGCCGUGCUACCUAGGGAGGGUCCCCUGCCUGGGCUGCUCCUCUUUCUCCAGCACACCGCCUGUUGGUGCAUACAGCUGGAAAUGCAGUAGACGUAUCCAUGUGUUCAGACUAGGUUAGAGAAGGCUCUCAAAAAAGAAGGAUGAGCGAUCAAGCACAGAUAGAAUUCAGAGGAUGAAAGCAAAAUAAAAAGUUUCCCGUUAUCUCAGAGCAUGAGGCCUACUGGUUUUGAAGUGAUUUAGUGCUAGUUAAUUUCUAACUUGUCUAUGAAAGGAAAGGAAAAGAGGUCUCCAAGUUUCUAAGGUUCUGAGGCAAGAGAAAAGUUGUAGUAAUGGCCAAAAUAAGAGUCAGAUUUUCUGAGAUUGAUUUCUGUAACGUAAAGGAUCAUUUCACAUUUGCUUCGUUCUUAAUAAUGAUGGAUCUGGUUUUCCUGUCAAUCAUCUUUUUUGUUGUUUUUCUAGCAAUCAAAAAUUGGCUUGUCACAAAGUGUUACUUUUCUGAUAGCACUUUUCUAAGUGCUUUGUGAAUAGGCCAAAGCAGUGGAGUGUUGAUUCAUGGAUCAGCACUUAGAAAAAGUGUGUACCUGCACAUGGGUGUGUUGCUGGCCGGCCAUCAGCCCUUUUCCUCACUUGACCUGAACUUCUACCUCUGGUGAUAUGCCCUACAUUUGUUCUUAUUUGGGCUCCAAAGAUCCUGGCACACACAUUCAGAAAUAGUUAAUCAUGCCAUUAUUUGUCUACUGAUCUAGUAAAAUAUUAACUAAUACUUACAUCAGUAUGUAUUGAACUUUACCAGAAUAGCAAUAGAAGUUAUUUUCUCAUAGUCUAUUAAUAACUGUUUACAUGUUUCACAAACAAUAAAACAUUUUAAAGUUAGUUGCUAAUAUUCUGGUAACACGAGGUACUUUUCUGUGUAGAGGAAGCAGGAUACAGAUUGUGAUUUGGGGUAUUUUGGGAGGCGGAAGGUGGUCGAAUCCUCUGUUCAAUUGUAUUUGUGUCUCAGGCUCCAAAAAAUCACUGUUUCAAAUGCUUGCCUUUGGAUUUUCACAGUCUUCUUUGGGACCUCCAAAAAUUCAGCUACCCCUUAGAGGGUUAGCACCUAAUAAGCAACUUAGUGUACACUAUUUGUUUUCCAAAAUAAUUCUCAGGGCAGCAUGAGAGAUCUGGGGACCUGGUGGGGAAAAUAAAGGAUGUCAAGGACAGACCAAGACAUGCACCCGUGUGGCUCGGGAGCAGCCCUGGAGAUGCGCCCGUGUGGCAAGACGUGAGAUGGCCCCUCCUCCUGGAGCUGGCAGUUCCCUCAGGGGUCCCAAAGUGAGCUCCUAGUAACCAACAUCACACAGGAGCUCUUUGGCCAAGUUCCAGAUCCACCGAAGUCAGCGAUGAGACCAUGGACAAAGUGCCUCAUGUCCCUGAGCCCAUUUCUUCAUUUGUAAAAGAAUCCAGUAGUUGUUCAGGAUGGUUUUGAAGAUCCGGUCACAUUGGAUGUGAUCUGUAUAAAAGUGCUUUAUGUGGUGGUUGUGUUUUAUUUGUUUCAUAUUUCAGAAGAUGAGAAGGUGGGUCUCACAACCACGGCUGGUUUGGGGGCAUGUACAAGAACCUGGGCUCUUCACUUAGGAAAGAGAAGUCUAGGGAAACAUGGUAGCUGCCUCCAGUAGAACUGCAAUAUGAAACAGGUCUUCAGAGGCUUCCAGGGCAAGGGGAAGCCAUGCAGGGCUCCUCCCCACCUCCCCACUUCUGCUCAUUGCUCUGCACAUGUCCAGAGACAAGAGAUGUGGACUAAACUCUAUGCGGGGAAGCUACUUACACCCUCCUAGGUCCAAAAGCUGCCCCCUGCCUCUGGAGUGUUAGAGCAGAAAGUGGGCAGGCAUGGGCAAGGCCAUUGCUGUGGGAAGUUAAGAGGCACCAGAGGACAGUUCUUCCAACUUAGACGGUUUUUGUGAAGUGAAAGCAGACUGCAGGCCUCAGCACUGGCGCAGAUCGGUGCAGGCCUCUAACACUGGCACGGAUGUAGCAGAUGAGAAAGAUGGGUCUCCUUACAAAUACUGGUUGUUAGUGAGUUGGGCCUUGAGAGACAGAGAAAACAGGUAUCUGCCUAAGGUGUGUCUGGUUAACUAUAUUGGCCCUUGAGGUAAUCUACAGUUGAAGGAGUUUUAGUUCCUCUAACAUUUUAAGAAAUCAUUCUCACGUUUGAGUGCCAUGUUUAUAGUACCAAUUUUUGGGACCAGGGUGGGAAGAUUGCCCUGAGCAAAGCUGCCCAUUUUCCCAUCACCUGGUUGGUUUUCAUGGAGCAGCCCACCUGCUCCCCACCUCAGGAGAUACUGAAGGACUCUAGCCCUGCGGUGGGCUGUGGUCAGGCCAAGGGUAGGCCAGGCUUCCUUCCUAGGCUUCAGUUCAUUCCCCCAUCUUGCUGCCAAGGUACUUUUAGAUGUUUUGGUCCCCUAAAGCAUUUAAACAGACUGACGUGUAAAAUGCUGUCUGAACAAAGUCUCCCAUGAACCCACAGCACAGUGUGCACCUGAACCUCCCAAGAGAAAUAGUAAAAUCACCACAUCAUCAAGUUGCAGCUCAGGGACUGUAUAGCUUUAGUGGUGAUGUUUGCAGGAAAAGGUUUCAGAGAAAUUUGAAAAUUGGCAGGUGCACUUUCUUGACCUUUCUAAAAAUAGUCUGAGUCACUUUCACUUUCAGCUUUCAAACUGUGUUGAAUGAAACCUUUGUGCAGUUUACAGAAAGUGAAGAACUGUUUGGCAAGAGAGAGAAGUUCGAGCUCCUAAUAGCCUUGGCUGCAUUGAGUAAUAUUUCUUUUGAGUUGUCUAUUAACACUUUCAUGAAACGUGCUUUUUAUGAUGCCUAGAACUUGUAUAAGAGUGACUGUAAUUUGAGUUCUUUAAAAAUGUAAGUACAAGAAAUGUGUCACAUGCCAUAAGAGCUAGGAAAUGACAGCUCACAUUCAUCUUGGUGGAAGGAAACUCUAAUUAUUGGAAGAUGUGAUUGGAAUAUUUGUUCUUAAUACCUACGGGUGGCUCUGUCGUAUGCUUGCCUAACACCAGUAUUGGCAUGCAAGUAACACUGAAAACCUCCUUUCUUUUCCUCUGGUCUUUGUGGGAAGGCAUGGUGUGAGUCGAGAUUGCUAAACCACUCUUCUGAGAGGACUCAGAGAGAGUGUUUAUCCUAGACCAUCCAUGGCGGUGGUACUUCUGAGUUCAGUUAUGGUGUGAUCUCAUUAGUCCAGGCUCAGAAUGGCUCGGUAACCUCAAAACUCCAAGCCCUCGGUGCUUGCUUUGCUUCCCUAGACUUGCAGCUUAUGUAUGCCCACAUGUGCUUCAUGUGUAUUAAAAAUGCUUGCAUGUGUAGAUAGGAAGAUAUAUGUUGACUGCCCUGAAAAACUUGACAUCCUAACAUUUAAAAUUGUUUUGAGUUUCCCCUGGGUAUAAACUAGUCUUCAAAUGUAAACAUGAUGAGCAGCGUAGGGGUUAUGGUACCAGAGAAAAGAACCAAAUCUUGGCCCUGGCCCAGCCCUACCCCUUGUGCUCUGUUACCUGCAGUAGAGGUGGAGUGGGGGCCAUACCUGUGAGCGGGACCUCAUCUUAUCUAUUCCUUAGACCCACCCAAGAGCAGGGAUUCCCAAAACUGCUGGCACCUGUAAGAGGUAUUGUAUUCUUGGACUCCAUUCCAUAACCUCUCAUCAGGAUUCCGGGUUUGGAAUUCUAGAAUCAAUGUUGAGGAAAAAGACACCUUGGCAAUUUUAUUUUUCUAGGUAUAAUUCACAUACCAUGAAAGUCACUCUUUAAAUUGUACAAUUCAGUGGUUUUUUAGUAUAUUCAGAGUUGUAUAACCAUGACCACUAGCUAAUUCAGAAUAUUUUCAUUGCCUCCCAACAAGCCUAGUACUCACGAGUAGUCACUCCCUUGCCCAUUCCCUCCACCCCUAAGCCCCUGGCAACCACUAAUCUACUUUCUGCCUCUAUGCAUUUGCCUAUUUGAGACAUUCAUAUGAAUGGAAUUAUAUAAUAUGUAGACUUUUGUAUCUGUUUUUUUCAUUUAGCAUAAAAAUUUUCAAGAUUUGUCCACAGUGUAGUGUGUCUCAGUACUUCUUUCCUUUUUAUCACUGAAAAUAUUUCAUUGUAUGUAUAUGUCACAUUUUGUUAUCUACUCAUCAAUUGAUGAAUACUUGUAUUGUUUCCACUUUGGCUGUUAAAAAUAAUGCUGUUAUGAACAUGUGUGUACAAGUAUUUGUGUGGGUAUAUGUUAUUUCUCUUGGGCAUACCUACAAAUGGAAUUACGGGAUCAUAUGACAACUUUAUGUUUAAUUUUUUGAGAAACUACAAAACUAACGAGCUGUACCAUUUUCUAAUCCCACCAGCAAUGAAUAGGGUUCUAAUUUUUCCACAUCUUCAUCAACAUUUGUUAUUGAUCUUUUUGAUUAUAGCCAAUCUAGUGAGUGUGAACUGGUAUCUUAUUGUGAUUGUGAUUUUGAUUUGCAGUUCCCUAAUGAUGUUGAACAGAUGUUCUUAUGCUUGUUGGCCAUUUGUAUAGUCUUUAGAGAUAUAUCACAUAUAUCUAUUUUGCCCGUUUCUAACUGAGCAAAACAGAAAAAAAAAUUGAGUUGUAAAUGUUCUUUAUGUAUACUGCAUACAAGCCCCUUAACAGAUAUAUGAUUUGCAAAUCUUUUCUAUUCUGUAGGUUGUUUCUCCAUGUUCUUGUUGGUAUACUUGGAAGCAUAAAAGUUUUUAUUCUGGUGGA